rnacentral:rRNA from 1 species
UGGGGAAUAUUGGACAAUGGGCGAAAGCCUGAUCCAGCCAUGCCGCGUGUGUGAAGAAGGUCUUCGGAUUGUAAAGCACUUUAAGUUGGGAGGAAGGGCAGUAAGCGAAUACCUUGCUGUUUUGACGUUACCGACAGAAUAAGCACCUGCUAACUCUGUGCCAGCAGCCGCGGUAAUACAGAGGGUGCAAGCGUUAAUCGGAAUUACUGGGCGUAAAGCGCGCGUAGGUGGUUCGUUAAGUUGAAUGUGAAAGCCCCGGGCUCAACCUGGGAACUGCAUCAAAAACUGGCGAGCUAGAGUAGGGCAGAGGGUGGUGGAAUUGCCUGUGUAGCGGUGAAAUGCGUAGAUAUAGGAAGGAACACCAGUGGCGAAGGCGACCACCUGGGCUCAUACUGACACUGAGGUGCGAAAGCGUGGGGAGCAAACAGG